GGAAUAAUUAUUUGAGAUACAGUAAGAGUUGACAUUACCUAUUAUGUGUGCAAACUACAUAGAGUAUUAUACAAUAUCAAACAAAAUGUACCAACACCUGCUAUACAUAGGUUGCAACCGCAGUACGUUUAUUGCUCUGGCACUCUGCCAGCACAAAGAAGAUAUCUUGGAUUUCAAGUAUUGUCUUUGAGAUCUGAUACAUCAAUGCUUGAGAAACACAGUUUAAUAGCGUUUGGAAAUUCUUGGCAUUGAACAUCUAUUCUUUCUGUCAUGGUAAAGUCUCAGAACAAUAACAGCUGUUUCUUCAAUAGCUUUAGACGUAACUUCUAUCACUGGCCAGACAGGAUUUUGCGCAAAAAUUUUCCCUGCGUAUUCCAAUUCUUCUUUCACGUAAUCCAUGUCACAAUAGUUGGUCUUCAGUUGUCCGUCCAUACCCAGAGUCUUAGCUCUUGCUCUUCUGAUGGAUUGCAGAACAACGGGAUUUAUUGUCAAAGCAAAAACCUUUUCCGGGUUAACUUCAAACAGUGUACUUGGUAAGUCUAUAUUCAUGACAAUGGGGACAUUAGCUACUUUAUAUCCUUUCUGUGCUAGAUAAAUGGAUAGCGGUGUCUUCCCACUUCGUGAAACACCAGUUAGAACUAUAUCCGCCAUAUGCAGGUUUCGCGGCAAGGCACCAUCAUCUUGCUUUAUGGUAAAUUCAAUUGCUUCAAUCCUCCUGAAGUAUUCCUCGCUGAGAGGAGAUUUCUGCCUCUCAGGAGCCCAACGAGAAAGGCCAGAAGGUGAAACACCAAGAUGGCCAGCAAUUGCCUCUGUAAUUGGCCCGAGUAUAUCACUAGAUGCUACGCCCCAGUGUUCACAUGCUUGUUUGGCAAAUUGAGCCAUGGAAGGCUCAGCUAAAGUAUAGACAACCAUUGCCCCUUCUUUGGCUGCUUGCUUCACUAUCUCCAUUAAUUUUUCAACAUCAUCAAUCCCAGAGAACAAGUGAGUAUUCACAGGGCAAACACGAUCGACUAAGCAAUAAUCAAAUUGACCUAAAGCUGCGUUAACGGCGUGCUCCGCCGUCCAUCCGGUUCCAUCAGACACCAUAAAUAUCGGUUUUCCACCAUUAACCUCCUUUUCAUCGUCUGACGACCAGGACCUGCUAUCACCUAUAGGCAAUUCAAUUUCCGGUUCACUUCGAACCGGUGAACCAGACUUGUCGCGUAAUUCAGUGCUCACAGCGGACCGGUCUAGUUUCCUGCCGGACCGGAUGCUUCGAGCUCUGGACCACCGGUUUAGCUGAGGGCUGGCUUUAAUCCUUCGUACCUGCGACUGAGAAUCAUCGGAAUUAUCAGAAAUCGCCGGUGGAGAUGGACUGUUUCUGGUGCCGCUGCCGGAACCGGACACGCGUAAGCUAG
rnacentral:misc_RNA from 1 species